rnacentral:snoRNA from 1 species
AACCCAUGAUGAGGGCACGUUCUCAAUAGAUCCUUGUAUCUCUCCCAAGCAUCAUAGACUGUUUCUAGAUCCAUCUACACAAAAGAAGAGAUAUCAUUCCUCAACUU